rnacentral:rRNA from 1 species
AUUGAACGCUGGCGGCAGGCCUAACACAUGCAAGUCGAACGAGUGGCGGACGGGUGAGUAAUGUCUGGGAAACUGCCUGAUGGAGGGGGAUAACUACUGGAAACGGUAGCUAAUACCGCAUACCAUCAGAUGUGCCCAGAUGGGAUUAGCUAGUUGGUGGGGUAACGGCUCACCAAGGCGACGAUCCCUAGCUGGUCUGAGAGGAUGACCAGCGAAACUGAAACUGAGACAGGGUCAGGACGCCAACGGGAGGCAGAAGGGGGGAAUAGGGAAAAAUGGGGGCAAGCCUGAUGCAGCCAUGCCGCGUGUAUGAAGAAGGCCUUCGGGUUUUAAAGUACUUUCAGCGAGGAGGCGUUACCCGCAGAAGAAGAACCGGCUAACUCCGUGCCAGCAGCCGGGGUAAUAC